UACGAAGGGGGCUAGCGUUGUUCGGAAUCACUGGGCGUAAAGGGAGCGUAGGCGGCGUGGUAAGUCAGAUGUGAAAUCCCGGGGCUCAACCCCGGAACUGCAUCCGAUACUGCCAUGCUAGAGGAUUGGAGAGGUAGCUGGAAUUCUUGGUGUAGCAGUGAAAUGCGUAGAGAUCAAGAGGAACACUCGUGGCGAAAGCGAGCUACUGGACAAUUCCUGACGCUGAGGCUCGAAGGCCAGGGUAGCGAAAGGG
rnacentral:rRNA from 1 species